rnacentral:rRNA from 1 species
UACGUAGGGUGCGCGCGUUGUCCGGAAUUAUUGGGCGUACAGGGCUCGUAGGCGGUUUGUCGCGUCGGGGGUGAAAACACCGGGCUUAACUCGGUGCUUGCUUUCGAUACGGGCAGACUAGAGGCAUGCAGGGGAGAACGGAAUUCCUGGUGUAGCGGUGAAAUGCGCAGAUAUCAGGAGGAACACCGGUGGCGAAGGCGGUUCUCUGGGCAUGUCCUGACGCUGAGGAGCGAAAGUGUGGGGAGCGAACAGG